rnacentral:lncRNA from 1 species
UGGAAAGUCGAUCCCGGGACCCAAUCUGAUCAGUUUGGCAGGUAGGCGGUUACUUCCAAAAUGACCAUAUUACCCCCAUAAGAACCCCUAUAAAUAGAGGGCACCCCCCACUCAUUAAAGGCAGGUCAUUUGGAGCGAAAGGAUUCCUAGCGAAGCAGAGCUCUGCGCACUUGAGUUCCGGUCCGUUUUCCCGCGGAGUUCCCCGCUUGGCGCUUGCUUGCGCGUCUUGGAGUACUGGUCGGGUUUCACCCCCAUCAG